UGUCACCCAGGGGAUGGGUGGCCGAAGGCCAGUGGGACCAAGUGAGGAGCACCAUUCUGGAAGCAAAGCCCCCAGAAUGUCAAAGCCAGGGCAGCAAGGCAUGCUCGGGUGAACAUGGAGGCCCAGAGCAGGACAGGGCCAACGGCUCCAGGGACAGAAGACUCGCAGGUGUGGAAGACAGCAGCCAAAAGGAAAAACGAUUUACUCUGCAAAAACCCACCGGACCCAACCUCUGUUGUAUCUCCAAACUGAGCUGGUUCUCCCAGAAUCCUGCGAAAGGGCCCGCAACGUGCAGAUUUGCCUAAGAACUCAGGCCCAGCGUUCCCAGCCACCUGCUGGACUCUCCUCAGAACUGGCUCAGGUCCCUCGAAUCCUGCACUUCUCAGACCAGAACCUUCUCUAAACCCACCCCCGAGGCAGUUCCCUGUCCUUCCCUAUGUCUGCCAGGGGUGCAGAAGUCACCAGAGCCUGUCCAGGUGGAGGCAGCCAACCCUCCAGGGACAGAACCUGCCCAGCUGCAGCUGGAGCCACCAAGAGCUUGCCCAUCCGGCUGGAGGUCGGUUCUGGGACCCAAAGGUGGGGGUGGGGACAGGGACUGAGGUGGGAAGACGGAUAUAUUAAGUUAAUAUUAAGAGCAGAGAGCAAAGGUGUAUCUUAAAAUUCAUUUUAUCUCUUUCCUUUUUACUUUCUUAAUGUGGCUACAAGAAAAUUUAACAUCAUGUAUGUGGCUGGAAUUCUAUUUCUAUCAGACAGCGCUUCUGGGGACCACAGAUCCCGCAGUUGGUCAGUUCGGCCCCUCCUGUCCCCUUCCCCACUCCUCAGGCUCAAUCGCUCCCUCCGGGCUUAGGCACGGCUGAUACCGGGUGUGCUGAACUUGGCAUGACGCGCGCGUGUUUGCAAGGACGUGUGUGCAUUCGUGUGCCUUGUGCUCACCUGUCUGUAGCCACGCACGCGCGUGUGCACAUCUGCGUCCAUCCCUCGUGUUUUCCACGUGUGAGCGCACGCAGGCGGGCCCCCGCCUGAAGUCAUGCCCAGGCGGUGUCCGGAUGGGAACCCGGUGCCCGCGGGGAGUUGACGUGGGGACAGGGCCUCGGGGUGAAGCCUCAGAGCAGGUUGUUCACCUCCGGGGGAGGCUGGAACAGGCAGUGUUUCCUUGGCAAGUUGAUGAGCGUGUCAUGUAGGCCAGAACCAACAGCCGCCCUGGAAUCAAGAUCGAUGACAGCUCCUUCUCACCCCUCGCCACGAGGCCUGUCGCCAUCGCUGGAGAGGAAAUUAAAUUGGUCUGGCACAGUUUGCCAUUCCCAAAGCCAGUUGGUCGCCGCGGUGUAGUGUGCGAUGCAUUUCUGGGCGGUGUCUGAUUGAUGGUUUGGUUUCUCCAUAAAUUUCCAAGGUGUGGUCUGCGGAGCUA